CGAACGGGUGAGUAACGCGUGAGGAACCUGCCUCAAAGAGGGGGACAACAGUUGGAAACGACUGCUAAUACCGCAUAAGCCCACGGCUCGGCAUCGAGCAGAGGGAAAAGGAGCAAUCCGCUUUGAGAUGGCCUCGCGUCCGAUUAGCUAGUUGGUGAGGUAACGGCCCACCAAGGCGACGAUCGGUAGCCGGACUGAGAGGUUGAACGGCCACAUCGGGACUGAGACACGGCCCAG
rnacentral:rRNA from 1 species